CAUCUGAAUUCAAGUUUUUAGUGAAUUUUUGUGUUUUUAAAUUUUUUUUUGUUCUUGAAAAUUACUUGAAAAUCAGUUUUUGAUCUUUUUUUGUGAAUAAUAUUUUUUUGUUUUGUGUUUUUGUCCAGCCCAACCGGAUUAGGCCCAUCCGGUUUAGCCUUUAUCGAUCAAAGCCCAAAUGGAUCCAAGAUCAUAAGUCCAAAUCGCUCACAAUUUUCUCUCAGAUUUCUUGAUAAAUCGCUCACAGCUUCUUCAUUGUACAGGAUACAGUUUGAACGGAUUGAAGUGUAAAUCGAAGACUUGAACGGAUAAGAAACUUCAUCGCUUACAGUUUGAGCGGACUAAGGUUUACAUCGAUCACAGUUUAACCGGAUUCUUGAUAAAUCGAUUGAGCCUUAUCCGGAUUCAAGACAUGUAUCUCAGGAUCCUUUUCCACUAGCUGCUGUUUGUGGCAACAGUUUGAAAAACACCGAGGGGCAGCUGUCAUUUCUGAAGUGUGCUGUUUCUGUACCACCUGAAGCAUUCACAUUUGCACACUGUGAAAGAGAAGCAGUAUGGAGUGUUUGAUGCCAAGGUUGUGAGUAAAAUCCCCAGAGGACCAUUGAAAAACAAGAAGAGAGCUUGAUUUUCAAUUCAUAUUUCCUUAUGAAUUGUAGUAGACAAGACUGUUGGUAAAUUUGUUGUUAUUUUGUAGCAGGUGUUGUGAUCCUUUUAGUGGUGCUCAACUGUUGUUUGUUUGUUUUUUGUUUAAUUGAAGACUAUUAAUUUGUUUC